GGGCCGGUGGUCUAGUGGUAUGACGUCCCCCUGACGCGGGGAAGGUCGGCGGUUCGAUAUAGAGCACUUUCCU
rnacentral:tRNA from 1 species